rfam:Stegodyphus mimosarum contig109304, whole genome shotgun sequence.
AUUAAGGCCCCUUUUGGGGCCACAUAAUCAGCUUCAUAAUCAGUAU